rnacentral:lncRNA from 1 species
CUCCGAACCCCUUCAUGCCCAAAUCCCGGAAACUCCAGCGUGUCUCCAGCCGUGGAGCACCAUGCAAAGUGCGGAGAUGCAGAGAGGAAAGACUACUCGGUCCUUGUUCCUUGCUGUCCCAGAGGUCACAGUGCUGUGGGGAGGGGGACAAGGACAUACCCUGUCAGGCUGCGUAUAUAAAUACACAGGUGCUAAGCAAAAUGGGAACGGAGAAGGGAAAGGUUCCCUCCACCUUGAGAGACCCACAGAAGGGUGUUCUAGAGAUGGAUGAGUCAGACUGCAAGAGAGCAAAGAUAUCUUCCUGAAUACAUUCAAUAUCAAAGCAUCAUGUGCCCUGUGUGUGCAAAAUAAUAAUAAUCAUAAUAAUAAAGUAAAAUAAAAGAUUGGCUGUAA